UUCCGGUUGAUCCUGCCGGACCCUACUGCUAUCGGGGGAGGACUAAGACAUGCAAGUCGUGCGUCUCUAAGCUAUGGUGGAGACGCGGCGUACGGCUCAGUAACACGUGGCUAACCUACCCUUGAGACGGAGAAAACCCCGGGAAACUGGGGCUAAUCCCCGAUAAGAGAAGACCCCUGGAAUGGGUCUCCUCUCAAAGGGCGUCUAGACCAUGCUUUUGGAUGCCGCUCAAGGAUGGGGCCGCGGCCGAUCAGGUUGUUGGUGAGGCAACGGCUCACCAAGCCUUUAACCGGUACGGGCCGUGAGAGCGGGAGCCCGGAGAUGGGCACUGAGACAAGGGCCCAGGCCCUACGGGGCGCAGCAGUUGCGAAAACUCUGCAAUGCACGAAAGUGUGACAGGGCUACCCCGAGUGCCGUCCGCUGAGGGCGGCUUUUCCCUGGUGUAAGGAGCCGGGGGAAUAAGGAGAGGGCAAGUCUGGUGUCAGCCGCCGCGGUAAUACCAGCUCUCCGAGUGGUAGGGAUAAUUAUUGGGCUUAAAGCGUCCGUAGCCGGCCUGGCAAGUCUUCCGUUAAAUCCAACGAUUCAAUCGUUGGACUGCGGGAUAUACUGUCGGGCUAGGGGACGGGAG
rnacentral:rRNA from 1 species